AUUGAACGCUGGCGGCAGGCCUAACACAUGCAAGUCGGGCGAGCGGCGGACGGGUGUGUAAUGUAUGGGGAUCUGCCUGAUGGAGGGGGCUACCUACUGGAAACGGUAGCUAAUACCGCAUACCAUCAGAUGCACCCAUAUGGGAUUAGCUUGUAGGUGGGGUAACGGCUCACCUAGGCGACGAUCACUAGCGGGUCUGAGCGGAUGAUCAGCAACACGGGGACGGAGACACGGCCCAGACUCCGACGGGAGGCAGCAGUGGGAAUUAUGGCGAAAGGGGGGCAGUCCUGACGCAGACAGGCCGGAUGAAUGAAGAAGGCCUUCGGGGUGUAAAGUUCUUUGGGUAGCGAGGCGUUAACUACAGAAGAAGCGCCGGCUAACUCCGUGCCAGCAGCCGCGGUAAUAC
rnacentral:rRNA from 1 species